rnacentral:rRNA from 1 species
GACGAACGCUGGCGGCGUGCCUAACACAUGCAAGUCGAACGGAAAGGCUCUGCUUUUGUGGGGUGCUCGAGUGGCGAACGGGUGUGUAUCACGUGAGUAACCUGUCCUUGACUUUGGGAUAACUUCAGGAAACUGGGGCUCAUACCCGAUAUGAGCUCUUGCUGCACGGUGGGGGUUGGAAAGUUACGGCGGUUCGGGAUGGACUCGUGGCUUAUGAGCUUGUUGGUGGGGUAGUGGCUUAACAAGGCUUUGACGGGUAGCCGGCCUGAGAGGGUGACCGGCCACAAUGGGACUGAGAUACGGCCCAGACUCCUACGGGAGGCAGCGGUGGGAAAUAUUGCACAAUAGGCGGAAGCCUGAUACAACAACGCCGCGUGCGGAAUGACGGCCUUCGGGUUGUAAACCGCUUUCGCCUGUGAAGAAGAGUGAGUGACGGUAAUGAGUAAAGAAGCAACGGCUAACUACGUG